rnacentral:tRNA from 1 species
GCCCCUUUAGUUAAGUGGUAUAAUGCACCCUUGGUAUGGGUGAGUGGGCAGUUCAAUUCUGCCAUGGGGCA